AGCAUCCCCGCCACAACAUAAGGGCACAUGCAGCCCACACAGGGGACACUCCUGGAGCAUUUGGCAUGGGGAGGAGGGGAAAAAACAC